rnacentral:rRNA from 1 species
UUCGCCCUCCUACGGGAGGCAGCAGUGGGGAAUAUUGCGCAAUGGGCGAAAGCCUGACGCAGCGACGCCGCGUGAGGGAUGAAGGCCUUCGGGUUGUAAACCUCUUUCAGCAGGGGCGAAAACAGACGGUACCUGCAGAAGAAGCACCGGCCAACUACGUGCCAGCAGCCGCGGUAAU